UACGUAGGGGGCGAGCGUUGUCCGGAUUUAUUGGGCGUAAAGAGCGUGUAGGCGGUUCGGUAAGUCUGUCGUGAAAUCCUGAGGCUCAACCUCUGGCCUGCAUCCGAUACUGCCCGACUAGAGGUAGGUAGGGGAGAUCGGAAUUCCCGGUGUAGCGGUGAAAUGCGUAGAUAUCGGGAGGAACAUCAGUGGCGAAGGCGGCUACCUGGCCCAAUACUGACACUCAGGUGCGACAGCGUGGGGAGCAAACAGG
rnacentral:rRNA from 1 species